CAAAAGAGAGAAGAUGAUCUAACAAUAGGAAGAAGAAGAGAACAGAUUCAUUGAGAGAAGAGAGACUAAUAGAAGUUCACAAGAUAGGGAUACAUUCAAUCACUGAUUCUUGAUAUACUCCCUGUACAUGAGCUGCCUUAUCAUAUGAUAUCAGCUAACUAACUAUUACAAGUGGCAUUCAAUUAAUAGACACUCCUUAAUAGACAAACAAAAUGAUAACAGCCUCUUAAACAACUAACAUAUUCUCUGGCUGGUGAACCUUUAUCUUCUCACCUUAAAUAUUCUCAUAAAUACCCUAUCCUUUAGUUUCCUUGUCCUCAAGGAAUGUGGAAACUGAGCUCUCACCUGCAUAACAGCUGGGAAAAAAAAAAGAAAAACUCCAAUGAAUGAGAAUGUAAGAAUCUUGCGAUGGAGAAUUGCUUGAGAAAAAGCAUCUUAACUGCACCAAUAUACGAUCCAGAAUUUGAAAUGUUCCCAU
rnacentral:misc_RNA from 1 species